AUUAUUAUUGUUCAUGAAUAAAUGUAAAUAAGCAAAAUGUGUGAUAAAUUCUUUAAGAUCAUUUUAACACAAAUUUGUUGUAAUUCUAACAAUGUAAUUUAUCUGCAUACUUCCAAGUAGUACUAACAAUACUAUAACUACUACUACUAAUAAUAUAAUAUAAUAUAACACUUUUAAAGCAAACAUACAGAGUGCUUCAAAAACUCACAAGCAACAACAUAAAAUAUAAUACAACAAAACAAAUCAUGAAAGACAUAAAACUCA